GUAGCUCAGUUGGGAGAGCACCUGCCUUGCAAGCAGGGGGUCAAGAGUUCGAAUCUCUCCGUCUCCA
rnacentral:tRNA from 1 species